UACGAAGGGGGCUAGCGUUGCUCGGAAUCACUGGGCGUAAAGCGCACGUAGGCGGAUCUUUAAGUCAGGGGUGAAAUCCUGGAGCUCAACUCCAGAACUGCCUUUGAUACUGGGGAUCUCGAGUCCGGAAGAGGUGAGUGGAACUCCGAGUGUAGAGGUGAAAUUCGUAGAUAUUAGGAAGAACACCAGUGGCGAAGGCGGCUCACUGGUCCGGUACUGACGCUGAGGUGCGAAAGCGUGGGGAGCAAACAGG
rnacentral:rRNA from 1 species